rnacentral:rRNA from 1 species
GAUACUACCCUAGCUGUGUUGGCUUUCUAACCCGCACCACUUAUCGUGGUGGGAGACAGUGUCAGGCGGGCGGUUUGACUGGGGCGGUCCCCUCCUAAAAGGUAACGGAGGCGCUCAAAGGUUCCCUCAGAAUGGUUGGAAAUCAUUCAUAGAGUGUAAAGGCAUAAGGGAGCUUGACUGCGAGACCUACAAGUCGAGCA